rnacentral:rRNA from 1 species
UACAGAGGUCUCAAGCGUUGUUCGGAUUCAUUGGGCGUAAAGGGUGCGUAGGCGGCGUCGUAAGUCGGGUGUGAAAUCUCGGGGCUCAACCCCGAGUCGGCCGUGCGAACUGGUGGGCUUGAGCACUGUAGAGGCAGGCGGAAUUCCGGGUGUAGCGGUGGAAUGCGUAGAGAUCCGGAAGAACACCGGUGGCGAAGGCGGCC